GUGGAUUAGAUACCCUAGUAGUCCUGGCAGUAAACGGUGCGCGUUUGGUGUGGGAGGAUUCGACCCCUUCCGUGCCGGAGCUAACGCGUUAAACGCGCCGCCUGGGGAAUACGAUCGCAAGAUUAAAACUCAAAGAAAUUGACGGGGGCCCGCACAAGCGGUGGAGUAUGUGGCUUAAUUCGAUGCAACGCGAAGAACCUUACCUGGGCUUGACAUGCAUCUCUAAGUCGGUGAAAGCCGGCGACUGUAGCAAUACAGAAUUUGCACAGGUGCUGCAUGGCCGUCGUCAGCU
rnacentral:rRNA from 1 species